UGUCUUAUGGUAAAGAAUCUGUCUGCAAUGCAGGAGACCUGGGUUCGAUUCCUGG
rnacentral:tRNA from 1 species